GGAUGUGAGGGUGAUCUGGCCGCCACAUCUGUCACCCCAGUGAUGGCCAGGGUUGGCUUCGCAGAUCUGGCUGGCUGCGCAGUGUCCCUUUUUCCUCCCUCACCUCUCUAUGUGCAUCCCUCCCAGAGCUGCAUGCUGUCUAGAACAGGACAACUACCCCCAUAGAGGAGGACCAGACCGUGUCCUCGGUAAAGGGCACACGGACAGCUGUGCUCCCUGCUGAAACCUCUAAGCAAGCUCUCAGAAAGGCAGGUUGGGGUCCUCUGGGGCUCAAGCUCAGGGUGA
rnacentral:snRNA from 1 species